AAGGAGGAGGAAAUGGAUGAUUACUGCUCACAGGUUUGUUUUGUUCCGGGGUAGUUUAGUGUUUCCUUAAUUCUUGUUUAGGUUUCAGGUUGCCUUUAGCUACAGUUUGAUAGGUUAGAUAACCGUAUCAGCUACCUUCACUGCAUAAAUUGUCCUCCAUCUACUCUGGCGUAGGUUCCUGCACGGCAUGUGGUGUUCAUGGUUCAUGGUAUUGGUCA
rnacentral:lncRNA from 1 species